AACCGCGGUUAUACGAGAGGCCCGAGUUGAUAUGCAUCGGCGUAAAGGGUGGUUAUGAUUUUAAUCAAAUAAAGUUAAACGCCUUCAAGGUUGUGCAACACACCCGAAGGAAAGGAAACUCAACUACGAAAGUGACUUUACAAAAUCUGAUCCCACGAAAGCUAGGACA
rnacentral:rRNA from 1 species